rnacentral:rRNA from 1 species
AGUGAACGCUGGCGGUAGGCCUAACACAUGCAAGUCGAACGGCAGCACAGUAAGAGCUUGCUCUUACGGGUGGCGAGUGGCGGACGGGUGAGGAAUACAUCGGAAUCUACUUUUUCGUGGGGGAUAACGUAGGGAAACUUACGCUAAUACCGCAUACGACCUACGGGUGAAAGCAGGGGAUCUUCGGACCUUGCGCGAUUGAAUGAGCCGAUGUCGGAUUAGCUAGUUGGCGGGGUAAAGGCCCACCAAGGCGACGAUCCGUAGCUGGUCUGAGAGGAUGAUCAGCCACACUGGAACUGAGACACGGUCCAGACUCCUACGGGAGGCAGCAGUGGGGAAUAUUGGACAAUGGGCGCAAGCAUGAUCCAGCCAUACCGCGUGGGUGGAGAAGGCGUUCGGGUUGUAAAGCCCUUUUGUUGGGAAAGAAAAGCAGCAGGUUAAUACCCCGCUGUUCUGACGGUACCCAAAGAAUAAGCACCGGCUAACUUCGUG